GUGGGGAAUAUUGGACAAUGGGCGCAAGCCUGAUCCAGCCAUACCGCGUGGGUGAAGAAGGCCUUCGGGUUGUAAAGCCCUUUUGUUGGGAAAGAAAUCCUGUCGGUUAAUACCUGGCGGGGAUGACGGUACCCAAAGAAUAAGCACCGGCUAACUUCGUGCCAGCAGCCGCGGUAAUACGAAGGGUGCAAGCGUUACUCGGAAUUACUGGGCGUAAAGCGUGCGUAGGUGGUGGUUUAAGUCCGUUGUGAAAGCCCUGGGCUCAACCUGGGAAGUGCAGUGGAUACUGGAUCACUAAAGUGUGGUAGAGGGAUGCGGAAUUUCUGGUGUAGCAGUGAAAUGCGUAGAGAUCAGAAGGAACAUCCGUGGCGAAGGCGGCAUCCUGGGCCAACACUGACACUGAGGCACGAAAGCGUGGGGAGCAAACAGGAUUAGAAACCCGAGUAGUCC
rnacentral:rRNA from 1 species